CAUAAGAAUAGCUUGUGAAAUCAAUUCUUUUCUGGUUAAAGUUAAACUUCAAAAUAACCAUUAAUCAGUGGAUAAUCUGUUGAUGAUGGAAGUGAUAAAAACAAGAGGAUUCUAUUAUUCUCUUGUUCCUUAUAUUUCUUUGUCCUGGUUACAUUCAAAUCUAAAAAUAUGUUACCAACUGUAACUUUUGCAACCAAACGUAUCUCAUAGUCUUCUCAUGGUUUCAUCUUUUUUCUCAAUUAUAUUCAUUGUACAGUUGAAAUACAAUUGUAAUUGGAGGAAUGUUAAACAGAGGCAAAGC